rnacentral:rRNA from 1 species
GACGAACGCUGGAGACGUGCUUAACACAUGCAAGUCGAACGAUGAAAUGGAGCUUGCUCCACGGAUUAGUGGCGAACGGGUGAGUAACACGUGAAUAACCUGCCCUUAAUUUUGGAAUAACCCAGGGAAACCUGGGCUAAUACCGGAUAAGUAAACCUGUGGCAUCACAUGGUUUCGGAAAGUUUUUCGAUUAAGGAUGGAUUCGCGGCCUAUCAGCUUGUUGGUGAGGUAAUGGCUCACCAAGGCGACGACGGGUAGCCGGCCUGAGAGGGUGAACGGCCACACUGGGACUGAGACACGGCCCAGACUCCUACGGGAGGCAGCAGUGGGGAACAUUGCGCAAUGGACGAAAGUCUGACGCAGCGACGCCUCGUGAGGGACGAAGGUCUUCGGAUUGUAAACCUCUUUCAGCAGGGACGAAGCGAAAGUGACGGUACCUGCAGAAGAAGCACCGGCUAACUAUGUGCCAGCCGCCGCAGUAA